GACAACAAUAAUGCUCUAAACAAAAAUAUUAAAAAAUAGAUUUUGCAAUAUAUGUGUAAAACAUUGUAAAUAUUGUAUACCAAUUAACAAAACAUACUUUCAAUUAAAGAUUUCACGUACACGCAAGUCAUAUUAUCAAACCUCAGAUUGCAAAUUAAAAGACUGAACAUAUGGAUUAAGGUAUUGGGAAAAAUCGAUAACAGUUAAGAUGACUUUCAACAGAGACGCGAGAUAGAUGCUACGGUGGGAAAUAGAUAUAAAUGUUGUUGUUUUUCUUGUUCAGCUUGUCGACGAAAAUGUAUCACAUACACAAACACACACCCGAUCUUAAACCGUCGUCAUACGUACAUGCAUACAUACAUACCUACAUAUGUAUGUAUACGCUUAAUUUUACGUUAGCGAUGUGUCAUCAUUACGAAAAGACCAUAAAAUAAAACAGAAACAAUUAUUAUAAUCGAUUCUAAUAUGAAUGAGAAAAUCAAAUAAACAAAACGCAAGCAUUAAAACAAAACAAUUGAAAGAGAAAAAACAAAACAUGCUAAAAUAAACAAUUCAUAUCAUCAAAAUUUUAAAAUUUAGUUAUGAGAAUAACAUUUGAUUAGAAGACGAUUUAUCCUUUUUUUUAAUCUGAGACAGAAAAAUGUCAAGACGUCGUCACAAUUUGUUAGAAGUCAAAUUUACUUGCAAACAAAAUACACAUUGGAAAGCAACGUAGAGACACCACAAAAACUGUUACGAACGGCCAUCUUGGAAGAAUAAACGAGAAAAAACGUAAUGCAAAAAAUGAAAUGAAAAAAAAAAACGAAAUCGACCAGUACCCCGGAUAAACUUAUGAAAAAUAUAAUAAAUUAUCCAUAAUCUAGUAUUUAAAACAUGUUCCAAUUAUAUUUCAACUGCAAAAAAUAAAAAUUAUUAUCUUUGUGGCUUUUGUUGCAGCUCUUAUACACACACA